AGAUUGAACGCUGGCGGCAGGCCUAACACAUGCAAGUCGAGCGGCAGCACGGGUACUUGUACCUGGUGGCGAGCGGCGGACGGGUGAGUAAUGCCUAGGAAUCUGCCUGGUAGUGGGGGAUAACGCUCGGAAACGGACGCUAAUACCGCAUACGUCCUACGGGAGAAAGCAGGGGACCUUCGGGCCUUGCGCUAUCAGAUGAGCCUAGGUCGGAUUAGCUAGUUGGUGAGGUAAUGGCUCACCAAGGCGACGAUCCGUAACUGGUCUGAGAGGAUGAUCAGUCACACUGGAACUGAGACACGGUCCAGACUCCUACGGGAGGCAGCAGUGGGGAAUAUUGGACAAUGGGCGAAAGCCUGAUCCAGCCAUGCCGCGUGUGUGAAGAAGGUCUUCGGAUUGUAAAAGCAACUUUAAGUUGGAGGAAGGCAAUUUAACCAAUUACGUAAGUGUUUUGACGUUACCGACAGAAAUAAGCACCGCUAACUCUGUGCCAGCACG
rnacentral:rRNA from 1 species